AUUUGUCUGGUUAAUUCCGAUAACGAACGAGACCUUAACCUGCUAACUAGGUUCAUCAGUACUACUUUUGAUAUCUUCUUAGAGGGACUAUGUAAUACAAAUACAUGGAAGUUUGAGGCAAUAACAGGUCAGUGAUGCCCUUAUAUGUCCUGGGCUGCACGCGUGCUACACUGAUGCAUACAACAAGUGCCUAACCAGACAUGGUAUGGCAAUCUCGAAUAUGCAUCGUGAUGGGGAUAGAUCUUUGCAAUUAUAGAUCUUGAACGAGGAAUUCCUAGUAAGUGCAAGUCAUCAUCUUGCAUUGAUUAUGUCCCUGCCCUUUGUACACACCGCCCGUCGCUCCUACCGAUACCGGGUGAUCCGGUGAACCUUUUGGACUCCGUACGGGGGAAGAUAAGUAAACCAUAUCACCUACAGGAAGGAGAAGUUCGUAACAAGGUUUCCGUAGGUGAACCUGCRGAAGGAUCA
rnacentral:rRNA from 1 species